UUUUCUUUUUGACAGGGACCAACCUUGUGAUAAUAGCCUCUGCCUCCUCUGAUCUAGGUGCCAUGAUUUUGAAAGGAAGUUUCCAUAGUGGACUGAAAUGCCAUUCAACACACAGCAUGCAAAUAACUGAUUUGAGGCAGACGUGAAGUCUUCAUCUGUACCUCCCACGAUGUUCCACUAACAACCAAAAGAUCUCAUUUGUAAACAGCUACCUGUCAGAAUAGGAAGGUUGGAAAGCGAGACACAGUGGAGUAAGCCACCUGAUCAGAAUCAACGUUAAGUCACUGUUGCUGUUGUCUGGGACAGGAUACGUACUUGUCGGGGGUUUGUUUCCAUGGUCCAGGACACAAAAACUGGACACAAGGAGGUCGAACUUCUCGUGGAGCUGGAGAGAAGAGGAGGAAGACGAGCUUGGUGGAGGGAAUGGUACGCUUACUGGCGUAAGGCUACCUGGAUCCGUUCAGAAGCAGAACGUGUGUGUGCCGCUGCCCGUGCUUUAGUUACACGACUGAGGUACCGUCUGGUGCUGAGCCAGGCCGAGGUGGUGAAAAGCACCCCUUGGAGCCCUACACACUGUUGAAACUUGGACCCCUUAGCACUAAGGGGAACCUCUGUGCACUUUUUCUGAUAAUAAAAUACGUGUUCAUUGUAAAAAGCAUAAAGAAGAAAAUAAAA